CAGUUACACACUACGUCGUACGAUUGAGACAAGGAAACUUGGAAUGACUUUUCAUAGGUUUCCCAGAGACUAUGGGUUGAGGAGGAAUUGGAAGUUUGUCGGCUUAGACCUGUGUCAUUCCAUCAGUGUUAAACUUCCCGGCUCAUCUUGGAAGAGUACGUGCCAGAAAGACCACGACCAAGCAGCCUUGAGAUCUUAGACAGCGUCUCCCUCAGACCAAAGAACUACAGACUCUUCACAACCUGCUCAAACUCUUGGUACAGGACCUCACCACACGGGUCAAGAAGGUUUCCAUCUCAUUUCUACUCUGAAGCUCACCUUCUCCUGCUCAAACUGCUGACAAAUGUCUCUGCUGCUUUAAAGUCUGGUCUCCAGAACUUCCUAAAAACUCUCAAAGUCUCUUCUGCUGCAGGUUGCUUUGUAGAACUGUUGCAGAAAACCUCACUAAACCACAUGGAGGGGCCUCAAGAUAGUCGUCCAAAUGAAACCAUACAAAAACCAAACUAGCACAACCCAAAUGCUAAAGUCUCCUGCAGCCUACCAGAGAACCUCUGAGAACAGAGAAUCAGGACAGGAACUCUCACCUUUUGGACAACCAACAUUGGUUCUCGAACAAGAAUACAGAAUGUGUCUGACCAAAAACCUCUAAAGACUCACUACAGCCAAGAUAAAGACACAACUCAGCUGUACCAAAUCCACUAAUCACUGUGGCUAAAGAACCUCAUUUACCAAGACAACUAUCCAGUACAAAGCCCUAAAACACACCAAGAAACACAUUAAAGUCUAUUUUACUGCUGGAAGCUGCAAGCCAACACCUAAAGAACAAACUAAAGCAAUGGAG